rnacentral:lncRNA from 1 species
CAGGCUGGCCGCCGCCGUGCCGAUGUAGCGGGCUCCGGAUCCCAGCCUCUCCCCUGCUCCCGUGCUCUGCGGAUCUCCCCUGACCGCUCUCCACAGCCCGGACCCGGGGGCUGGCCCAGGGCCCUGCAGGCCCUGGCGUCCUGAUGCCCCCAAGCUCCCUCUCCUGAGAAGCCACCAGCACCACCCAGACUUGGGGGCAGGCGCCAGGGACGGACGUGGGCCAGUGCGAGCCCAGAGGGCCCGAAGGCCGGGGCCCACCAUGGCCCA